rnacentral:tRNA from 1 species
GCCAGCUUGGCCUAGAGGCAAGGCGUCGCUCUUGUAAAGCGAAGACCGCAGGUUCGAUCCCUGCAGUUGGCA